rnacentral:rRNA from 1 species
AGUAACGCGUGAGCAAUCUGCCUUUGGAUGGGGGAUAACAGCCGGAAACGGCUGCUAAUACCGCAUAAUGCAACGGGAUCGCAUGGUUCUGUUGCCAAAGAUUUAUUGUCCAAAGAUGAGCUCGCGUCUGAUUAGCCAGUUGGCGGGGUAACGGCCCACCAAAGCGACGAUCAGUAGCCGGACUGAGAGGUUGAACGGCCACAUUGGGACUGAGACACGGCCCAGACUCCUACGGGAGGCAGCAG